ACAGCAGCCGCCGCGGGAAAACGUAGGGUGCGAGCGUUAAUCGGAAUUACUGGGCGUAAAGCGUGCGCAGGCGGUUCGGAAAGAAAGAUGUGAAAUCCCAGGGCUUAACCUUGGAACUGCAUUUUUAACUACCGGACUAGAGUGUGUCAGAGGGAGGUGGAAUUCCGCGUGUAGCAGUGAAAUGCGUAGAGAUGCGGAGGAACACCGAUGGCGAAGGCAGCCUCCUGGGAUAACACUGACGCUCAUGCACGAAAGCGUGGGGAGCAAACAGGAUUAGAUACCCGAGUAGUCCCUGUCUCUUAUAC
rnacentral:rRNA from 1 species